rnacentral:rRNA from 1 species
AGUGAACGCUGGCGGUAGGCCUAACACAUGCAAGUCGAACGGCAGCACAGUAAGAUCUUGCUCUUACGGGUGGCGAGUGGCGGACGGGUGAGGAAUACAUCGGAAUCUACUUUUUCGUGGGGGAUAACGUAGGGAAACUUACGCUAAUACCGCAUACGACCUACGGGUGAAAUCAGGGGAUCUUCGGACCUUUCGCGAUUGAAUGAGCCGAUGUCGGAUUAGCUAGUUGGCGGGGUAAAGGCCCACCAAGGCGACGAUCCGUAGCUGGUCUGAGAGGAUGAUCAGCCACACUGGAACUGAGACACGGUCCAGACUCCUACGGGAGGCAGCAGUGGGGAAUAUUGGGCAAUGGGCGCAAGCCUGAUCCAGCCAUACCGCGUGGGUGAAGAAGGCCUUCGGGUUGUAAAGCCCUUUUGUUGGGAAAGAACAGCAGCAGGUUAAUACCCCGCUGUUCUGACGGUACCCAAAGAAUAAGCACCGGCUAACUACGUG